rnacentral:rRNA from 1 species
UAUGAACGCUAGCUACAGGCUUAACACAUGCAAGUCGAGGGGCAUCAGGAAGAAAGCUUGCUUUCUUUGCUGGCGACCGGCGCACGGGUGAGUAACACGUAUCCAACCUGCCCUUUACUCGGGGAUAGCCUUUCGAAAGAAAGAUUAAUACCCGAUGGCAUAAUGAUUCCGCAUGGUUUCAUUAUUAAAGGAUUCCGGUAAAGGAUGGGGAUGCGUUCCAUUAGGUUGUUGGUGAGGUAACGGCUCACCAAGCCUUCGAUGGAUAGGGGUUCUGAGAGGAAGGUCCCCCACAUUGGAACUGAGACAUGGUCCAAACUCCUACGGGAGGCAGCAGUGAGGAAUAUUGGUCAAUGGGCGCUAGCCUGAACCAGCCAAGUAGCGUGAAGGAUGAAGGCUCUAUGGGUCGUAAACUUCUUUUAUAUAAGAAUAAAGUGCAGUAUGUAUACUGUUUUGUAUGUAUUAUAUGAAUAAGGAUCGGCUAACUCCGUGCCAGCAGCCGCGGUAAUACGGAGGAUCCGAGCGUUAUCCGGAUUUAUUGGGUUUAAAGGGAGCGUAGGUGGACUGGUAAGUCAGUUGUGAAAGUUUGCGGCUCAACCGUAAAAUUGCAGUUGAUACUGUCAUUCUUGAGUACAGUAGAGGUGGGCGGAAUUCGUGGUGUAGCGGUGAAAUGCUUAGAUAUCACGAAGAACUCCGAUUGCGAAGGCAGCUCACUGGACUGCAACUGACACUGAUGCUCGAAAGUGUGGGUAUCAAACAGGAUUAGAUACCCUGGUAGUCCACACAGUAAACGAUGAAUACUCGCUGUUUGCGAUAUACAGUAAGCGGCCAAGCGAAAGCAUUAAGUAUUCCACCUGGGGAGUACGCCGGCAACGGUGAAACUCAAAGGAAUUGACGGGGGCCCGCACAAGCGGAGGAACAUGUGGUUUAAUUCGAUGAUACGCGAGGAACCUUACCCGGGCUUAAAUUGCAGUGGAAUGAUGUGGAAACAUGUCAGUGAGCAAUCACCGCUGUGAAGGUGCUGCAUGGUUGUCGUCAGCUCGUGCCGUGAGAUGUCGGCUUAAGUGCCAUAACGAGCGCAACCCUUAUCUUUAGUUACUAACAGGUUAUGCUGAGGACUCUAGAGAGACUGCCGUCGUAAGAUGUGAGGAAGGUGGGGAUGACGUCAAAUCAGCACGGCCCUUACGUCCGGGGCUACACACGUGUUACAAUGGGGGGUACAGAAGGCAGCUAGCGGGUGACCGUAUGCUAAUCCCAAAAGCCUCUCUCAGUUCGGAUCGAAGUCUGCAACCCGACUUCGUGAAGCUGGAUUCGCUAGUAAUCGCGCAUCAGCCACGGCGCGGUGAAUACGUUCCCGGGCCUUGUACACACCGCCCGUCAAGCCAUGGGAGCCGGGGGUACAUGAAGUACGUAACCGCAAGGAUCGUCCUAGGGUAAA